UGCGAGGGCAAUCUGGCUGCGGUAUCUCUUACCUCAUUGAUCACCAGGGUUGAUUCAGCUGUUCUGGCUGGCUAGAAGGGGACUCUGUGGCCUAGCGGU
rnacentral:sRNA from 1 species